rnacentral:rRNA from 1 species
CCUACGGGGGGCUGCAGUGGGGAAUAUUGGACAAUGGGCGAAAGCCUGAUCCAGCCAUGCCGCGUGUGUGAAGAAGGCCUUCGGGUUGUAAAGCACUUUCAGUGGGGAAGAAAGCCUUGGGGCUAAUACCCUCGAGGAAGGACAUCACCCACAGAAGAAGCACCGGCUAACUCCGUGCCAGCAGCCGCGGUAAUACGGAGGGUGCGAGCGUUAAUCGGAAUUACUGGGCGUAAAGCGCGCGUAGGCGGUCUGAUAAGCCGGUUGUGAAAGCCCCGGGCUCAACCUGGGAACGGCAUCCGGAACUGUCAGGCUAGAGUGCAGGAGAGGAAGGUAGAAUUCCCGGUGUAGCGGUGAAAUGCGUAGAGAUCGGGAGGAAUACCAGUGGCGAAGGCGGCCUUCUGGACUGACACUGACGCUGAGGUGCGAAAGCGUGGGUAGCAAACAGGGUUAGAUACCCGAGUAGUC